GCACAAGCGGUGGAGCAUGUGGUUUAAUUCGAUGCAACGCGAAGAACCUUACCAGGUCUUGACAUCUGUAGAACCUUGUUGAAAGACAGGGGUGCCUUCGGGAGCUACAAGACAGGUGGUGCAUGGUUGUCGUCAGCUCGUGUCGUGAGAUGUUGGGUUAAGUCCCGCAACGAGCGCAACCCUUUGUCCUUAAUUGCCAUCAUUCAGUUGGGCACUUUAAAGAGACUGCCGGUGUUAAACCGGAGGAAGGUGGGGAUGACGUCAAGUCCUCAUGGCCUUUAUGCCCAGGGCUACACACGUGCUACAAUGGGUGGUACAAAGAGAUGCAAUCUCGCAAGAGCAAGCAAACCUCAAAAAGCCAUCCUCAGUUCGGAUUGGAGUCUGCAACUCGACUCCAUGAAGUCGGAAUCGCUAGUAAUCGCGGAUCAGCACGCCGCGGUCGAAUACGUUCCGGGCCUU
rnacentral:rRNA from 1 species